rnacentral:tRNA from 1 species
GCCGGCGUAGCUCAACGGCAGAGCGGCUGACUUGUAAUCAGCAGGCUGCGGGUUCGAAUCCCGCCGCCGGCUCCA